UUGAAGUGAAAGAAAAAUAACAUUUUUUCUUGACCAUAUUCUAAGUCCUUCCAAUCUUCAACAUAAAUAAUUUACAAAGGUGCCACCUUACUUUUCAUACCUUACUUUUCAUACCUGGCACUAACAUUCCUUUUACUCUUUACAAGUCAAAAAUAUAUGCCUUAAAACAUCGUGACUAUGUAAAAAGACUCACUCUUUAUUUUAGGUGAAUACAGUUGAACAUAUGCAGAACUUAUAAUCAACCCAGAGCUGUUCUGGUUAAACCUUGGAAAAUGGGAUCAUCUGGUAAAGAAUAAAGGUGCAACAGGAUGGCUGGAGUGUGCUGGAGCUGGGUAUUUCCUUUCUGACACAUGGAACACUUGAGUUGGGUGGAAUUGGAUAUUUUCCUUGCCCAGUCAGUUAGGCCUUGAUAAUAAUACCCCAGCCUGUUAGGGUUUGGUUAACUAAGUUUCCCCGGAGGGUGAGCCUUAUUAAGAACAGUGUUCUUGUGUAUUUCAAAAUGAUUCCUUUCCCUCCACCUGCUGGAAGCCCAAGGGAUUUUUUUUUUUCCUGAUAUUUACUAUGGGAAUCUGGUCAAGCUCCUGGAGGUAAGUCUCACAAUAUUGUAGGAGCUCUUCAUGACUGGGUCCCUUUGUUUUUAACUCUAAGAAUCAUCCACACUGAGCUUGCAACAAUUUAUCAAUUACAGUUCAGGUUUUCCUACCCCAGCACUGGUUCCCACCCUGGUUUCUGCUCAAUGUGUCUUCUGCUCUGGUAAAUUGUGUCACCCUUUAUUCACCUUCUUCUCCAAACUGGACCUCAUAGAUCCAGGAAGAGUUGAUUUUUCAGUCUAACACUUUUCUUGUUGCAAGGAUGGAGUGGCAACUUCUACACAAGCUUAUUACAUGCAGGAUUGGAAACUAAAAGUGGAUUAUUUUUUUAAAUACAAAUACCCAAACACAUAUCAUGUUCAAUUAGUCAGUCCCUUCUAAGGAUGAGUUCUAGGAACAUACACUUUAACCAGCUUUCCAAGUGUAUUUUACACACACAGAAGUAUGAAAAUAGCUGGAAUAAAUGAAUACUGGGAAAAAAAUGGAAACACUUCUCAGAUAAAGUAAUUUCAUCUGAUUCUGUAGCACAUUUUCUUCCCAGUUAAACAUAUUAGCUUAAAAAAAAUCUGUACAAAAGUACAAUAAUUUAGUGUAAAAUACAACAACUAUAAAAAUAACCAGACUCCCAAAUAAUGUAAUACUACUCUUAUUAUUACAUUUUGGCCAGGUAGAAAGAUUCUACAUAGCAUUUGAAUUCUGAAAUUCUGGACUUGUGUACUGGCACUGAACUUCAUACUGUAUAAAGUUGGGAAAGUCACAUAAACUUUGUUUAUUUUUCCCUUUAUAGCAUAAUAAUACGAGUAAUUCCUCUCUCACUGAUGUUAAAAACCUGAGGUAUAUAUCAAAAUACUUAAUAAAUGGAAAGGGUUAUGCAAAUACCAAUGUGCUUAGCAUCUAACAUAAAAUCCAUUGACUGUUUGCAUUUUCAAAUCUCAUUUCUAGCUAUUUCCCUUCUUACUCUGUAAUAGGUCCCAGAUCAUUCUUUUACUUCCCUCAAUAAACUAGGCUUACUCUUGGAA